rnacentral:ribozyme from 1 species
UUCUUUCUUUCUUGCUUGCUUUCUUUCUUUCUUUCACUUUGCCCCCUUUACACAGACAACACAGAAGUUUGAAGCAGCAGCAAAUGCACCAAAUGAAUGAACCAAUGAACCAAUGAAUG